GACGAACGCUGGCGGCGUGCUUAACACAUGCAAGUCGAACGGAAAGGCCCUGCUUUUGUGGGGUGCUCGAGUGGCGAACGGGUGAGUAACACGUGAGUAACCUGCCCUUGACUUUGGGAUAACUUCAGGAAACUGGGGCUAAUACCGGAUAGGAGCUCCUGCUGCAUGGUGGGGGUUGGAAAGUUUCGGCGGUUGGGGAUGGACUCGCGGCUUAUCAGCUUGUUGGUGGGGUAGUGGCUUACCAAGGCUUUGACGGGUAGCCGGCCUGAGAGGGUGACCGGCCAAAUUGGGACGGAGAUACGGCCCAGACUCGUACGGUAGGCAGAAGUGGAGAAUAUUGCACAAUGGGCGGAAGCCUGAUGCAGCAACGCCGCGUGCGGGAUGACGGCCUUCGGGUUGUAAACCGAUGUCGCCUGUGACGAAGCGUGAGUGACGGUAAUGGGUAAAGAAGCACCGGCUAACUACGUG
rnacentral:rRNA from 1 species